ensembl:snRNA U6 U6 spliceosomal RNA
GUGCUCGCUUCAGCAGCACAUGUACUCAAAUUGGAAUGAUACCAAGAAGAUUAGCAUGGGCCCUGCGCAGGAUGACAUGCGAAUUCGUGAAGCAUUAGAACAUCUC